rnacentral:rRNA from 1 species
UACGUAGGGGGCGAGCGUUGUCCGGAAUCAUUGGGCGUAAAGCGCGUGUAGGCGGCUUGGUAAGUCUGGUGUGAAAUCCUGGGGCUUAACCCCAGACCUGCACUGGAUACUGCCAAGCUUGAGUCCGGGAGGGGAGAGCGGAAUUCCUAGUGUAGCGGUGAAAUGCGUAGAUAUCAGGAGGAAUACCGAUGGCGAAGGCAGGUCUCUGGGCUGACACUGACGCUCAUGCACGAAAGCGUGGGGAGCAAACAGG